CCUACGGGGGGCUGCAGUGGGGAAUAUUGCACAAUGGGCGAAAGCCUGAUGCAGCAACGCCGCGUGAGCGAUGAAGGCCUUUGGGUCGUAAAGCUCUGUCCUUGGGGAAGAAAAAAAUGACGGUACCCAAGGAGGAAGCCCCGGCUAACUACGUGCCAGCAGCCGCGGUAAUACGUAGGGGGCAAGCGUUAUCCGGAAUUAUUGGGCGUAAAGAGUACGUAGGUGGUCUUUUAAGCGCAGGGGUUAAGGCAAUGGCUUAACCAUUGUUCGCCCUGUGAACUGGAAGACUUGAGUGUAGGAGAGGAAAGUGGAAUUCCUAGUGUAGCGGUGAAAUGCGUAGAUAUUAGGAGGAACAUCAGUGGCGAAGGCGACUUUCUGGACUAUUACUGACACUGAGGUACGAAAGCGUGGGGAGAAAACAGGAUUAGAUACCCCUGUAGUC
rnacentral:rRNA from 1 species